GAAGGAGGAUCGUUCCCCGGUGGGGCGCCCGGACUUCAAAUCCGGUGAGGGGCGUACAACGUGCCUGGUGGGUUCAACUCCCACCCUCUUUCGCCA
rnacentral:tRNA from 1 species